GGGUCAGUAGGUUGGUCGUGCCACCGGUACGUACUGGUCUAACUGAUUCCUCCUUCCUGAAGAACCGUAAUGCCAUUAAUUUGGUGUUGCGGGGAAACAGGACUGUUACUUUGAAAAAAUUAGAGUGUUUAAAGCAAGCUAACGCUUGAAUACAUUAGCAUGGAAUAAUGAAAUAGGACGAUCGAUCCUAUUUUGUUGGUUUCUAGGAUUGACCUA
rnacentral:rRNA from 1 species